rnacentral:rRNA from 1 species
GACGAACGCUGGCGGCGUGCCUAAUACAUGCAAGUCGAGCGAAGUGGAGAGAGCUUGCUCUCAAAACUUAGCGGCGAACGGGUGAGUAACACGUGGGCAACCUGCCUGACAGACUGGGAUAACUUGGGGAAACUCAAGCUAAUACCGGAUAAGAUCGCGAACCGCAUGGGACGCGAUGGAAAGUCUGAACGACACUGUCAGAUGGGCCCGCGGCGCAUUAGCUAGUUGGUGGGGUAAUGGCCUACCAAGGCGACGAUGCGUAGCCGACCUGAGAGGGUGACCGGCCACACUGGGACUGAGACACGGCCCAGACUCCUACGGGAGGCAG